GUUAAAUAAAAUUUUAAUUCACCUGUGGGGCCCACAUGAUUUGUAAGCCAAUAUUAUUACCUUUUUCUUCUUCUCUGCGUAUUACGUUCUCUCUCAUUCCAGAAGCUCUCUAGAAUUUUUUUUUUUUUCUUUUUAUGGUUUCAAUUUCAAUCUUUGAUUCCAUCUUCAUUACUUGCCGGAUUUAGGUGCCGUUUGAGGCAAAACAACGAGUGUGACGAGCUCUACGCGUUGAUGCAAGCAAUUUCCAGUUUUGAGUUUUCUUUGGAACUCGAAAAUUUAAACCAAUUUCUAGGGUUUUGCCUAUUUUGAGGUCUUGCGAAAGAACCGGUGAACGACAACCGACCUCAAGCUUGAGCGAUACUAGAAGCUCACUUUUGUGUCUUUUGUAUAUCUCCCAUUAUUUUUGCAAAGCACUAAAAGUGUGAAGGUGUAUAUGUAUAUUUUGCAAAAUUUUGUUAUGUAAUGUAAUUAAGGUAUUUGAUGAUAAUUUGGAUGUGAAUUUGAUAACAUGUAAACCUUAUUGAUGCAUGGGGAGAGUAAUACUAGUUUGAGGUAUUAUCGAGGUCA